CCUGACGGCAAUAGCGCCGUGGAACCACCUGAUCCCAUGCCGAACUCAGAAGUGAAACGCGGUAGCGCCGAUGGUAGUGUGGCAUUCGCCAUGC
rnacentral:rRNA from 1 species